rnacentral:lncRNA from 1 species
ACCACGCCGCGAUCAGUGACGAGCAUCUGGCUCUGGCUGCUGCUGAAACCAGCUUGUGUUUUGAACGCUUCCAGUGUUCCUUUUACCAGCUGCUUCUUCGUGGUUUUCGACUGCCGUUUAUUUAUACCGUGGCUACUGCCCAGGCUAAGGGGGAAAAAAAACCAAACAAACUCAACCCUAACAACCCAAGGAGCAGUUGGGGUGCUCCAGCUUGCUCUGUUAGGAAAUAUUACUUUGGUUCUGCAGGCUUCAAAGCUGAGAGAGCAGUGGACCAUCCUACAUGAUAAAAUACUUGUAUCGGAGCCCCUGAUCAUCACAUCCUUCCCCUCCCCUCGUCCAUUCCGUCCUAGAAGACUCGAUGCACGGCUGCAGAUAGAAAACAAGGCGGCCUCUUCCUGUAGAAGCUACAGGUUUCUCCUGUCAUGGGAUUCCUUUAUGGCCUGCACAAGAUCAAACUGGAAGGUGUAGUAAAGGUGGAAAAUGGUGAGAGACUGUUCUGAAGAGCAAGUUAAGAAUCAGGCAGGAGAGGAGGACAGGCAGUGAAAUUGAAAACUAUGGUUGGAAAAAGUAAAUAAAUUAAAAUUCCGAAGUCUAUUGUUUUUUAAU